rnacentral:tRNA from 1 species
AUUAAGAUGUCUGAUUUAGGUAGUAAAUUGUAAAUUUACUUAAGGGUGAUUCCCUCUUGAUA